GAGCGGUAGAGAGAAGCUUGCUUCUCUUGAGAGCGGCGGACGGGUGAGUAAUGCCUAGGAAUCUGCCUGGUAGUGGGGGAUAACGUUCGGAAACGGACGCUAAUACCGCAUACGUCCUACGGGAGAAAGCAGGGGACCUUCGGCCCUUGCGCUAUCAGAUGAGCUUAGUUCGGAUUAGCUAGUUGGUGGGGUAAUGGCUCACAAAGGCGACGAUCCGUAACUGGUCUGAGAGGAUGAUCAGUCACACUGGAACUGAGACCCGGUCCAGACUCUUACGGGAGGCAGCAGUGGGGAAUAUUGGACAAUGGGCGAAAGCCUGAUCCAGCCAUGCCGCGUGUGUGAAGAAGGUCUUCGGAUUGUAAAGCACUUUAAGUUGGGAGGAAGGGUUGUAGAUUAAUACUCUGCAAUUUUGACGUUACCGACAGAAUAAGCACCGGCUAACUCUGUG
rnacentral:rRNA from 1 species